rnacentral:sRNA from 1 species
UCAAAUAAACGUAGUCGCCAACAUAAUA